GCGAGUGUAGCUCAGUUGGUAGAGCAUCACGUUGCCAACGUGAUUGUCGCCGGUUCGAUUCCGGUCACUCGCUCCA
rnacentral:tRNA from 6 species